AGUGAACGCUGGCGGCAGGCCUAACACAUGCAAGUCGAGCGGCAGCGGGUUCCCGCGAGGGGAUGCCGGCGAGCGGCGGACGGGUGAGGAACACAUCGGAAUCUGCCUGGUUGUGGGGGAUAACGUAGGGAAACUUACGCUAAUACCGCAUGCGACCCUGAGUCGACGGACUGGGGGUGAAAGUGAGGGACCUUCGGGCCUCACGCGACCAGAUGAGCCGAUGUCGGAUAGCUAGUUGGCGGGGUAACGGCCCGCCAAGGCGACGAUCCGUAGCUGGUCUGAGAGGACGACCAGCCACACCGGAACUGAGACACGGUCCGGACUCCUACGGGAGGCAGCAGUGGGGAAUAUUGGACAAUGGGGGCAACCCUGAUCCAGCGACGCCGCGUGGGUGAAGAAGGCCUGCGGGUUGUAAAGCCCUUUCGGUGGGGAAGAAAAGUCUCGACCUAAUACGUCGGGACCUUGACGUAACCCACUAAAGAAGCACCGGCUAACUC
rnacentral:rRNA from 1 species